rnacentral:sRNA from 1 species
ACACUAAACCUUAAACCUUAAACCCUAAACAUAAAUCCUACACCCUAAACUCCAAACC